GGUAGCAAUCAAAUAGAACAGUUUUAACGUCCCUGUCGCGAUGCCAAUGGUGGUUCGAUAGUUGAGAUGGCAUUCCGACACAUCACUGUAGUAAUUAUAUGCUUCAAAUUUCAUAGAUUAACAAUUAAAGUACGUGAAACGAGCAUGAUCAGACAGAUCUUUUAAAGACGAUUUCUGUUACUUUAUCACUUUCCCGUGACAAUCCCGCGACCCGACUAAGAAUAAACGGUUCGGAAUAUUGAUGGAAUAUGUGCCAGUCUUUUGAAAUGCCCCAAUUUCCGGCCAACGCCUCAAUGCAAUCAUUGAGGCUCGAGUGUUUAAGUGUAACAUUUUUUGUUGUUGUUGAAUAGACGUUUCAAAGUUUCAUAACUUUAAAAAAAAUAUAUUGACGCAUGGGGUCAUUUAGCCAUGAAAAGCUCGGAUUGGUAAAACGAGUGAGGAAUUCUAGGUCAACCGUGACUCGACUGUUUUACCGUAAUUGCAGUAGGUUGGUUAUUUUUGCGUAAUAUGUAAAAUGCCGUGUUACCCUUGGCUGCAAGUGGCAUCCAGAUUACCUGGCUCCCAAUUCCAGUUGUGGCGGGUAGGUCAAUGCAAGUCCAGUAAUUUUGAUUCCCUGUCUGCAGAUUCUUCACAAACUACAUCAAAAUUGUUCAACUGCGCAUAAUUCUUCACUUCUUCAAUAAACAUGUGAAAUAAAACGUUUCGUUUUCAUCACCCCAUUGGCUGCAAGAAAUUGUCAACAUACAAAAAAAUAAACAUAAUAAAGAUUACAAAAAAUAAAA